UCACACAAGGUUCUCCAAGAAGAGAGACCAUGGAGCCAGGAAGAGGAGGCCCACAAAUCAAUGAGAGACACUGAAGAAAUGACUAGAGAUCUGACUUCAAAACAGGAUGAAUGACUGCCCAUUGCUGACCCCUUCCUCAGCUGCCACAGCCCUGGCCAAGAGGGAGGCCUCUGGCAUCUGUACAGUAGCCACCUCCUGUUAAGGUGGUGCCCGCUGGGGAAAACAGAAUGAAGCCUACCUGGUCGUCAGCUCCAAAGGAGAAGGUCCAGCAAACCUGUGUGAGAAACAUCAAGCUGCAGGAUUUCUCAGGCCUGUCUCAAGAGUGGGAGUUCACUGAAGGUUCAAAGAGGAUGGAGAAGAUGUGAAAUAAUGUGGAGAAUAAAAUUCUGAACUGACCAAAGAAACGUAUAAAUGUGACUGGGCAGCCAUUGCCCCAUGGGGUAAAAUGUCCCUGUAAAGAGAGAGAGCGUGCACAUGAGCGUGCACAUGAGAGAGAGAGAGGAACAGAGGACCUGAAGCAGGCUCUGCACUGACAGCAGAAAGCCCAAUGUGGGGCUCAAACUCACAAACCAUGAGAUCAUGACCUGAGCCAAAGUCACAUGCUUAACUGACUGAGCCACCCAGGCACCCCUGAAAAACAAGUUUCUGAUAAAGAAGUGUACCAUUGGAAGGUUCCCAUCUCUUUUGCAUUCCAAGAGCCACUGGGGAUGGAUACUCAGGGUAAAGUACGGACUGUGCUACUCUGGCCAACGCCAGCCCCGUCCACUCUGGCCAUCAUUUGCACAGCCUUUGUCACUUGCUCCUGACUGCCAGCAUCCAGGCUUCACAGAUGUCUUUUGGUGCUGCAUCUCAGGCUACGCAUCAGUCACUGUUCAGUUGUGGAUCUGGACCAGAGCAGGAAGGUAACUUCCCACCCUUUAAGUUCUGUUCUGUUACUGUGUCCUCCCAGCUGAGGCCCUCAGCUCCUGAGUGUUGGGAGACAGCUCUGUUUGUUUGCAAAAUAUGCCUUCAUGGUUCCAAGUGUUCACUUGCUCCUGGAGUAGUUCACUUGGGAUGUUGUAAACAGCCACCACGCUGUUAAUUGGAAACAUCACUCCUCUCCAAUCUUCGGGUCCUGUUGCUGAGUCCAUUCAUUGUUGCCAGGUUCCACCUUAAGUAGGUAUCAGUUCUCCUUCGAGGCUCUUUCAUCACCCUGUGGUUUGCCUACUGUCAUCAGCACCUGAUUCAUCAGACAUUCCCAUGGACAUUGGAACCUCUUCAGCCCCAAUGGCGCCUAACUCCACAUGCCAGACCUAUAUUGGGUCAGCCAGUACUUCUGCUAUAAAUAUAGGAAAUGUGAUAUAUUUAGUGCAGCUAUUUAAAUUUCAUAAUCUAUGAUCACCUGAAUAUAGGAACUAAUUCAUUCAGAAUCAAACUGUUUGGAAAACUAAAACAACUGAAUUUUUGUACCACUUAAACUUGGCUUUUAAUACUUUUACAUUUUGAGAUAAUUAUAGACUGUACAAAAUAAUCCAGAGAUCCCAUAUACCUUUAUCCAGUGUUCUCCCAAUGGCAACAACUUGUAUAACUAUAGUACAAUAUCACAACUAGCAAAUUGAUAUUGAUAUAAUCCAGCAACGUGUCCAGAUUUCACCAGUUUUAGUUUUCCAUGCACUCACGUAUAUGCCUGUGUGUCUGUUUAGUGCUAGGCAAUUUUAUCGCAUAUACGGGUUCACACGGCCACCAAAAUAUAGGACAGUUCCACCUGUUCUGUAGGAACCUUCAUGCCACCCUGCUGACACCACCCUGGUGGGAGAUGAGGAACUCUGCCUGCUUCCAACUGGCAGGAAAUGGAGAAUCAGUCCCACCAAUAUGACUGGGCGGGAGAACUGGAGCCCCACCACCUGCUUCUGCAGGGAUGGGGGUGAAGAGGAAGAUCAGCUCCCUAUUCUGCCCCACUGAACCUAGGGAGAGGGGGAUACAAUUCUCUACGAAUGUUUGGCCAAAGUAGGGCAAGAUUGCCAAAAAGCCUUUCUAUGGUUGAGGCCGCUCCUUCAUUGGUUCGUUGAGUAGGAGGAACAGAUGUUUCUCGUGGCUUACUUUAUCCAUGCCCACUGACGGUUCCAGGAUGGAAGCUACUAUAGUACCCAUCCUGGGCUAUAUGGGAGGCAGUAAGGAAACCUAGAUUCGUCACCAUGUUAUUUCUCAAGUCCCAGAGUCCCUAGGCAGUCCAUCUUCUUCUUUCCUCCUUUGAGUCUUCCUAUGUUUGUUUGAUAUAUUAUGUCCACAGUUGUAAUAAGGAGCACCUGGAAGGAAAAGGGUGCUCCAUCCUGGCUAGAACCAGAGGUCUUAUCUAUACUUGAUUUUUAAGAGAAAUAAAUAGAUAACAGGUAUGUUGACACCAACAGUUAACUCAUGGAAGCAACUUUUCAGGAUGUUACCAUUUUCGUCUGGCUCAGUAUUCUGUAUCUGUCAAUAUCCAUGUCUCAUAGAUGUGUGUGUGUUACAUACCUUGGCAUGUGACAAGAAUUUGUGUUCAAAAUGAGAAUAUUCUGUGAAUAGCUUCUGAAGCAUCAAAGAAAAUGAAAGUAUCUUCUCUGCAGUUUUGUGUGAGUGUAUUUAGACGAGUUUAAUUCUGUAAACAAUGGUUGUUUUCCACUGUGUCAGAAACCCAAUACCCCAGCCAAUCUGGCUAGAAGAGAUUGUAUUGCACGUAGACGUCUUGGAGCAGAAUUAGAUGACUGACCAAAUAUGAGGACAGUUUUAAAAACAGCACCACUGGUGAACAAGGUCCUAAACAUCUCUCAGAGAGGCAAUGUCUUUCUUCAAGUAGGUAGAGGUUAUUAUGUGGAAACCUCCAUUGGGUAAGCAAGACAAAAACAUGCUGGAUUUUAAGCAAGAGGAUGUUAAGUUAGAUUGUUUUCCUCCUUUCUGAAAUUUAUAAAAAUUAAUACAUGUUUCUGGAAAAAUAUUAAACAAUAUGUAAAUGGAAAAUGGAAAAUGUGAUAGGUUCCUUCUUAUCUUGCCUUUCAACACCCUCUCCUCUGAUGAUAGUUUUGGUGUGUUUGGUUAGAUUUUUUAGAAACAGGCUUCAGCAGUCAAAGUUUUCUUUCAUUUUCUUUUUUUAAGGUCUUAUUUAUCUUUAAGAGAGAGAGAGCACAUGCAUGCAAGUGGGGGAGGGACAGAGAGAAGGGUACAGAGGAUCCAAAGCAAGGUCUGUGCUAACAGCAGUGAGCCCGUUGUGGGGCUCAAAUUCAUGAACUGUGAGAUCAUGACCUGAGCUGAAGCUGGGUGCUCAACUGACUGAGCCCCGCAGGUGCCCCAGCAGUCAAAGGUGUCUGUGUGCAAGUAAACUUAAAACUUCUCAGUCCUGGGAGAUUUUCUACAAUUGGUCAUGAGAGGUGAUUUGGGGUAAGUGGGAAAGAACUGUCUCUCAAAUCUGUUCAAGCUUUCAGUUCAGAUGGGGCUACCCUUUAAAACACAUGCAUAUGCAUGCACACACACGCACACAUAUGCACACGCACUCAUAUGCAUGCACACAUAUACACAUGUAUGCACAUUUCUCACUUGAAAAGGCCAUUUCACGGGUCACCUGGGGGGCUCAGUCAGUCAAGCGUCUGACUUCCAUUCAUGCCAUGAUCUUGCAGUUCAUGAGUUCAAGCCCCACAUCUGCUCACUGCUGUCAGCCUGUCAGCACAGAGUCCCUUUCAGAUCCUCUGUUCCCCUCUCUCUGUCCCUCCCACACUUGUGCUCUCCCCAAAAUAAAUAAAUACAAAAAAAAAAAAA